CCAUACAACAUUUACAGAGUGGCAGGAAGACUUAGCAACCAUCAAGCUGUUAUAUCUGUUGAUGAGCAGAGGAUGCUCGGCACAAAGAAUUCAAGCUUUUGAAAAGGAAUCUGGCUACCAGCUGUACCAGGAGAGAUACUUACAGCAAGUAAGACUUAAAAAAUUGGACUACAGCAUGACCGGUAUCAAAGCCAGGUGCACUCGACAGACAAAUCAAAACAAGACACCAUAUGAAGUCUGGAUGAUUGCUUCUUCCACUGGUGACAGCACAGCUGGCUGUGUGUAUAGGAGAUGAUGGUUGAUGCAAACAUGCUGUUGCCCUCAUCUGUGCAGUGGUGGACUUCAUGGAAUGAUGUGGGAUACUGCCUGGAAGAGCAAAACUCACCUGAACUGACUUUGCUUGCACCUGGGACAAGCCUCAAAGGCAAAAAGUAAAUCUAAUGAAAUGCUUUGCAACACUGAGAACAGGUAUGUAUAUGAACUUGUAAUAAGUGUUGGAUAUCUUAUGUCUCUUGUAAAAAUUCAUUGAACUAAAACUUAUAUUUGGAGCAGCUGAUGUCAGUGUGGAUUAAAGCCAACAAGGGCAGUUGACAAUGUCAGGUCAUUGUUGGUGAUAGUACUGUACAGGUGCAGGUUAAUAUAGUGAAGGACAUUAGUGGUCAGGUGAGCUGAGGUGUAUCCGAAACCAGAAAUCAGAACUCAUACAUUGUGUCUUUUUUUUUUUUUUUUUUUUGUGAUUAGGUGAGCUGAGGUGUAUCUGAGACUAGAAAUCAUAACGCAUACAUUAUUUUAUUUUUUAUUUUUUUUCUUAUGAUUUUUCAGCUUGGUUGCAAGAAAGAGAACAUUCAGUAUGUACUCUGUAUCUCUAUACAGUGGUGCUAGUAGUUCAUAUGAAGACUGCAGUUCAAGGUACCACCAAUAUUGUACUAAUUUUCUUUCAUAUUAAUUUUUACAGCACAGGUGUAGGAAGGCAGACACCCAGUACUUUGAAACCUUAUAAUACUGGCAGUUAUAAACCCAUAUCUGAGCUAUAUUCCCCUUAUAACUGCUGCAAUUUCAAAAAAAUAUGGUGGGUGUCCUUAAUUGUCCAGUCAAUAUUUUGAAUUUUUUUAUUCUCUCAAUGGCAUGUUCUACAUGUACCCUCAGUGAAGCAAUCUCUCGUGUUUUCACAAUUUCAUUAGUGUUUAAUGCUCUUCUUUUACCAUCAGCUUUCUUCCUAGUCAAGGGUGGUAUGCACAAUUUUGCACCACAUUGCAGCAAUAGGUCUCCAAUAUUGAAGCCUCUAUCCACCAUUACAGCAUUUCCUGGGUCAAUUUUAUCUAGAAGUUCUGCUUCUGCUAUGUGCCUGUCAGAAGCAUUACCUCCUUAUGCAUGUGAAAUAAAAGUAAUAAUUCCAGUUGGUGUUAUGCCUACCAAAACUUUUGCAGUGUUGUGAUGCUUGUUUAGUGUAUAUGUCUUGGCCUGAGCAGUACAGUUUCUUGGCUUAUCAAUAAAAAACUCAGUACAGUCCAAGAUCACCCUGAUAUCUGCAUAUCUAGCAGGAUACCAUGCAAGUAAGCUGUUUCUUAAUUGCUGAGCUAUAAUGGCCAGUGUUGCAAUAUCUCAUACAAUACAUUUAUCCAAGUGUUGGUGAUGCAAGUGACAUGACUGAGAGAUUCCAAACAAUUCUGCUAAAAGCCAUGUUGUUAAGCCUUGACACAAACAUACUAAAGUCAGCAGGUACUCAUCAAAAUUAUCCAUAACAUUUUUACUGCCACCUAAACCUUUCUUGGUCAUUUUCUUUUGGAAAUGCCUUGGUCCUUUCCAGUACUCAAUUUUUUUUACUCUUUUUGUUAAUGACAUCAUAGAUGGCUGUCAAAGCAUUUCUACAAGGAAGACCUGUGUAUGCGCUCAUACUUUUAUCACUGGCAAGAAUCAUGUUUUGGGUCCUGGCUCUGCGAUCUGCAGCUGCUUCUCCAACCUCUGCCUCCUG